GACGAACGCUGGCGGCGCGCCUAACACAUGCAAGUCGAACGAGAGAUGAGGAGCUCGCUCUUCAGAUCGAGUGGCGAACGGGUGAGUAACGCGUGAGGAACCUGCCUCAAAGAGGGGGACAACAGUUGGAAACGACUGCUAAUACCGCAUAAGCCCACAGCUCGGCAUCGAGCAGAGGGAAAAGGAGCAAUCCGCUUUGAGAUGGCCUCGCGUCCGAUUAGCUAGUUGGUGAGGUAACGGCCCACCAAGGCGACGAUCGGUAGCCGGACUGAGAGGUUGAACGGCCACAUUGGGACUGAGACACGGCCCAGACUCCUACGGGAGGCAGCAGUGGGGAAUAUUGCACAAUGGGGGAAACCCUGAUGCAGCGACGCCGCGUGGAGGAAGAAGAUCUUCGGAUUGUAAACUCCUGUUGUUGAGGAAGAUAAUGACGGUACUCAACAAGGAAGUGACGGCUAACUACGUGCCAGCAGCCGCGGUAA
rnacentral:rRNA from 1 species